rnacentral:rRNA from 1 species
GUCCACGCCAUAAACGAUGAAUACUCGUUGUUGGAGGUAUUGACCCCUUCAGUGACUAAGCUAACGCGGUAAGUAUUCCGCCUGGGAAGUACGGUCGCAAGAUUAAAACUCAAAGAAAUUGACGGGGGCCCGCACAAGCGGUGGAGCAUGUGGUUUAAUUCGAUGCAACGCGAAAAACCUUACCUGGGUUUGAAAUAGUCAAGAAAAGUACGAGAAAUCGUCUUCCAGCAAUGGCUUGAUUACAGGUGCUGCAUGGCUGUCGU